AAUAGGGUACUGUCAUGUUAGAUGCUGAGAGGGAGUUUCGGGAUACCCCAGUGGAUAGAUGACCUAUAUUUAAUCUAGAUGCGGAUGAUGAUAGUUCUGAAAGUGGCAAUUGGUCGACUAGUGAUGGGGGUAGUCCUGAAAGUGAAAGUGAUGGUGAUGAUCAUCGUAGAGAUGACAAUGAUGAAGUUGUCAGGGUGGAGGGAGGGGAUGAUCUUGAGCAUUCUAAGCACGAGGAUUCUGAAUAUGGAAAGGUGGAAAGAGGGACAUAUACACCUAGUGAUGAUAUGUUCCAUGAUGUGAUGGGGAACGUACGCGAUGAGGACGAGUUGAACCAACUUGAUGUCUAUCUUGUGGACUCCCAUAGAGAGUGACCUGUGGAUGAGGAGUGUCCUGAGUGUGCUGCCCACCGUAGGGAGGGAGCCAAUCCCGACGAUUCUAUUUAUUCGUACCUGCAGACCAUUUGCAGUUCACUAUCGAGGUUGGAUGGCCAUAUAUCGGGUUUAAAUAGUCGUGUAUCUAGUAUGGAGGAAAACAUGACGGACAUGAAAGGGAAAUUGUCAGCCAUCCUGUCACUGUUGCAGUCUAUGUGCAAGGAUUCCAUGGUGAAUGAGGAGACGACCAGGUCAUCCAUCCCAUCUCGAGAUCCUGAUACCAAUAAUGCGACUGCCUCUGACACUCCCAUCCCCCCUCUACAGCCCGAUACCACCACUUCACCUACUUCCACCCCCCUUUACAGCCUGAUACCACCAUGACAUCACCAAUUGACGUUGAAUCUAUAGAGGCCGACGUCCCACAAAUAGAGCCCGACAUGUCUGCCUUACUCACCAUGCCACAUACAGAGGCUGACAUGUCUGGCAUCCUAGAGGCCGACACUUCUGGGAUUGUUAUGACCACAGAAAGAGUUACACUGGAAUCUUGAAGAAUUAGUCGUAAGAGGAAACCUAUUGAUAAAUAUACACCUCCAGCUCAAGUAAAGAAGAAAAAUGUGGUUAAGCAUCCUCUCCCAGGUGUAGCUACGUCACUAUCCAGAGUGAUUGUCACAUAUAACGUAGCACAUGAUGUUCCACACAAUAUCCUUACAGAAAUGAUGAGCUGGAUCUUGGACAACAAUAUGGACAAUGAGGUUCGAGAGAACUUCUUUAAACCACUUGCCAAACAAUUCUUCAAGGAAUUGAUUACCCUGAAUUCGUUGGUCGAA